rnacentral:rRNA from 1 species
UACGAAGGGGGCUAGCGUUGCUCGGAAUCACUGGGCGUAAAGCGCACGUAGGCGGGUCGUUAAGUCGGGGGUGAAAUCCUGGAGCUCAACUCCAGAACUGCCUUCGAUACUGGCGAUCUUGAGUCUGGGAGAGGCGAGUGGGACUCCGAGUGUAGAGGUGAAAUUCGUAGAUAUUCGGAAGAACACCAGUGGCGAAGGCGGCUCACUGGCCCGGUACUGACGCUGAGGUGCGAAAGCGUGGGGAGCAAACAGG